CCCUAUAUGAUGUAGGUGGCGAAUGGCAUCCUUAAUGACGGUAGCAAUAUCAUCUGCUGGAAUUGAAGAUGGGGAAAAGAAGUAACCAACCGUCUGUUGAAAGACAUGCUUUAGGACGAGCGUACACAUCCUCUCCACAGGGGAUGGUGGCGGCGAUGACUCCCAUUUGGGAGAUGAUUCCCUGUAGGAAGCCAGGCUGUCGGGAAAUAAAAGGUUAAUAAUCAGAUUUUCUUCAAUCUUAAAAUUGUGGAACUCGAAGUUGAGUAGUCUUAUUUAAUAAAUUCGUAUUUACAGAGAAAUAUCCCACACGUGCGCUAACGUAACGCCGAAGUGUCCUUCCAGAAGGAAGCGAGAAUAUGGCCUUCAUUUGACAGUAGGCCUUUGAGCUGCUGUGUAACAGCUGCAGCCCUAGAUCCUUCAUGUGUCUGUUGAACCUUCUCCCUCUGUCCUUUUUCCCUGCCUCUGACAGUUGUGCCCUAAUGAAGUUCCGGCAGCCCUCAGGACACCUCUGGAGCAUCUCCUCCAUAAUUUCAUGGGGACUACGAAAGAACAAGAGGUGGGGAGGCAAGUGGUGGCGGGUUGUCGCAAUCCACCAGUGUGGGGAUGGCAUCUCUGCAUUCCUCAAAAUGCAGUUCACAGACAACAUAGCCCCCCUGCAUUAACUCCUCGUGUGACAUGGAGUGUCUGAGGUCACUUCGCCUCAUGUUUAUGAGCCAUUUCUUUCUCCUGAAAUAGAAACCUGGAUUAGAAUCAUAAUUGUAAGACUGCAUCAACUUAGUUUACAUCAGUAAACAAUUUCCUAGAGAGCAGUGUUCUGUUGUACUCCUCCUCAUGCCUCUUCCUUUCUUGAUCUCUACAGUUGGACCUUGAUGCUGUGACAACGGACAAGUCUUCUUCCUCUUUUAUUAUAUUGUUGUUCCUCCUCCUUUUUUUUUAAAAUUAUUUACUAUGUUACUGUUCUUAUUGUGUUCUUGUUAGUGUGAUGUUUGAAUAAACUUGCCUGUUGCAAUGUUGGUAUGUUUGUAUAAUUACUGUUAUACAACUGUUACUGUUUCAACGUGACGUAGACCAUACUUCUCAUUUAACAAACAUGUGUAGCUUAAAAUGUGUUGCAGGGCAGAGCAAUAAUAUUCAAUGGCUUAAAACAAACCCAUCUGUAAAGAUCACUGAAUGCAUAGAAAUCAUGACAAGUGGU
rnacentral:lncRNA from 1 species